GACAGCAGUAGCCGCGGGAAUACGGAGGGAGCUAGCGUUGUUCGGAAUUACUGGGCGUAAAGCGCGCGUAGGUGGUUCGCCAAGUUGGAUGUGAAAUCCCCGGGCUCAACCUGGGAACUGCAUCCAAAACUGGCGAGCUAGAGUAUGGUAGAGGGUGGUGGAAUUUCCUGUGUAGCGGUGAAAUGCGUAGAUAUAGGAAGGAACAUCAGUGGCGAAGGCGACCACCUGGACUGAUACUGACACUGAGGUGCGAAAGCGUGGGGAGCAAACAGGAUUAGAUACCCCUGUAGUCCCUGUCUCUUAUAC
rnacentral:rRNA from 1 species